rnacentral:lncRNA from 1 species
CCGGGAGAGAUCAAAAACCCCUUUGCCUCCACGCGAUUCGAAUUCCUCACCACCUGCUCCUCGCCUCCGACCGCCGCCGCCGCCGCGGGGCGAGGCGAGGCGAGGCGAGGCUUACUCGUCGGGCACCACCCAGCCUCUGGCAUCCGGGCCCCGCCGCUGCCCUCUACUGCAGGCCCGCCGCGCCGAGCCGUACUGCCGACCUCCACGGCUGCCAUCUCCGUCUCGCCUCCCCCCGAAUUCUGUUGUAACCAUGGCGAAACGAAGGGGACUUCGAAGCUGUAAUGAUGCUAAAGCCUGGAAGUGCCGAGCAUGCGGAACAAUCAAUAGACCCACAAAACACCUAUUCUUUAAGCUUCCAGCAUUUCACUGCACCAACAGUGAUUGCGGCAAAAAGUUUUGCGGAAAUUUUAAAUUUUGCUUGGGGGAAAUAAAUGCACAGGAAAAAAAGGUUGUAGGUGAAGUUCACGAUCAAGGCGAACAACCCCUAUGUGUUGCUUUCGCAUACUCAAAAGCGGUAGAGAUUAUGGAAAGGGUGUUUAGCAUUUCGGAAGGCAAGGACCCAGAUCUGGUGCAAUGCAUUGAUCCAUUUGAGCUGCACAAAAAGUUUGAGGAUAAGUUUCCUGAGGUGCUUUCUAUCAACUGCCUUACAAGAGAUUACGGCCUACACCGUGUCCUUCAUACCGCGCUGAUUCUCAGAUCAGAAGGGAUCACUAAAGAGAAAGACUUAGCUGCUACUGCCAGCCCACCAUUCAUCCCCUCCCCAUGCCAAGCAAGAGAAGUUAAGGAGGCCCUGUCUGGUAACCGAUAUGUUGCAAGAGAUGUAUCCACAAUUCCACGAGAUGACUUUGAGACUAUUUGUCAGAACUUAGCAGAGGGCAUUCCGAUGGUUGCUACCUACAUUCCUGGAAAAAGAAGAAGUCUCCUCCGCUAUUGCCAGAUAUACAAGUCCCCUCGAUCAAAAUCUGGUGAAAAACAAUUGCACGCACAGAUAGGACACGCUGUUGUCCUCAUUGGUGCUGGGAUGAAAAGGGGGAGGGUAUUCUUCUAUUUUUUGAAUUCUUGGGGUGAAAAAUUCUGUCCCCGCAAGAAUAAUCAAGGUGAGAUAGUAACCGGUGGCAUUGGCAAACUGAGGGAGGAUGACUUAACUAAAAAUGUUGUAAGACUAUCACCUCCAGGAGAAACUGGUGUUACAAGAAGGUUAGACGAUCAGUUUGAAUUGGAGAUUUCUGAUCCUAACUAUCUGUUAAUGAUGGCUACGAGGAAUCAAUAUUCUGAGAUGAUGAUGAUGAAGCUGAGACAAAAGAAUCUCCAAGAGUUUCGAAAAGAUGGUUUGGAUGACCACUUAUUUCGUGAUGAUGAAGCAUUGUUUGAUCUUUGUGUUGGUAUACAAGGCCAUGAAGAAUUAGAACAAGCUUCUCUUGUAAGGUGCCUUAGGCGACACGUGUUAAUCACCAAUCUCAAAAGCAAAUCUGAGCUCUCUAAUCCUUUUCAAGUUUUCGAGCAAUCAUACUAUUUUUUGACAGUUAUUCAUUUAGUUUUUUUUUUGCUAAAUUUUAGUAAAUAUAUAAGAAAUCUUAUCAAAAUUUUGACAAUAGUAUCAAAUUGCCAAAAUUGGGUAAGGUUAUAAUUCUGGCUGC